UUUCUAAUUAUGCGGGAGCUUAACGUGACUGCAUGCACAUACCUGAGUGUGGGUUUUGUCUGGGGUGACGCACGUCUGAGUCCCGUUGUGUCUCUGUGUUUCCCUUUGAGUACUGGAAAUUGUUUUUGUGUGUAGGCGAGAUCCCACUUAACCUCCCAGAAUUAAGCACACACUUCCUUACGUGGGAAGGAUGUCAGAGUGGGAAGCCGAAGAGAACGCAAAGUUCUCUUGGGACCACCAGAGACAGGGAAAAGGCCUGGGUAGCUAAACUAAGACAAAAAUACAGAUAGCGGGGAAACUCCGCAUUCUGCCUGAGGUGCAGAAAGGGCCUCUCCCUGAAGUAUAAUGUAAGGCCUUUGCAUGGUCUGAAUCUCCAAAUUAUUCACAUUCUAUGUAUUUUGUUUUACUGUACUCAAAGCUUAAAUCCAUCAGAAGUGUUGGUUCCUAGUUCUUUAAAGAUUUAGCCAGGGUUGGAAGCUCUGUGGAAGCUACCAGCGUGAAAAGCAGGAAAGCGUCAGGAAAAUAGAGGAAAAUGUAAAGGAAUCCAGAUGCAAUGAAAAGGGCAAGUGUUGGGCAUAAACUGGAAUCUCAUCUGUGUAGGAUCUUGGCCAAGUUACCUCAGCCUUUACUUUCUUACUACCUCCCAUGUAGUUAAUUCACCCUGUCUAUUACCCGCUGCUGUGAUUCCUAGGUUAUUAAUGUUUCUCUUACCCGAAAGGUGACAAGGCAGACACGCAGUCAGUCGAAAAAUGUAGAAGAACCUAAAAAACCAGGGACUGAAAAGGAGGAGUUUUGAAGCAAAUUGGGAGAAAAGUCCUUGAACUCCAGACUAGGAUCUUGAGAAAAAUCAGCAUAUUGACAAAGAAGAAGGAGAAGUAGAGGAAAAAGAGACAGAAAUAUACAGGCAUCAGAGAGAGGCUAGCAGUAGAACCCACUGGAGGUCUCCUCUGCAUUUGAAGUGCAAUGUAAAUGAGAGGUCAGUACCACGGACAGCUCUCAGGCCACUGACCAGAUGUGCGAUUUCUCUUUCUGACUGAUGUUUCUUGGGCAACAAUUUUGUUCUUCCCUUGGCUUCCAGCAUGAGUUGAGAUCCUGGCCAUUUCUUCUUGAAAAGAUUACAAUAUAAAGAAAAACACUCACCACACAUGAUGUCCCAGUUUCUAUCCUGUAUCCUUUCUUUCCUUUCUUUCUUUCUUUCUUUUUUUUUUUGGCCCUCUCUUUCUAUCUAUACCUCGUGGUUUCCUAGUUAUUUGUCACAUUCUUGUUUUGCUCUGUCACCCCCAGCUGGGAGCUGCCUCCUUGAAAAAUACCAACAACAGCUGGUCAAGAAAUCAAUCUAAAAUAACCUAGUCAGAUGAAGACCAAGACAGAGUUGAUCCUUUAUCUUCCUUCACAAUUAGACUCUCAUGGUAGUAUAUGGUCAAAAUGCUGUACAAAUAGGACACUUAAUAACAUAAGAAGUUACUCUGUUGAUUACCAGUCACCCAACACAAUCAAUAUUUCACUCAGAAACAUAGAAUCCUCUGUGUGUGUGUGUGUGUGUGUGUGUGUGUGUGUGUGUGUGUGUGUACUGGGAAACAGAGAAAUAGAAGGAAGAAGGGGAAUUGUUAAACUUUUACCAGGCACUAACCUUCAUUUGGAAUAUUUUCUAGAUAGGUCUCAAAAUACUAUGUGAGCAAGGGUUAUAGUUCUGUUUCUACAGUGACUUUCCAACAUGCAUAAAAGCUAAAGCAUGUCCCCAAAUUACCAGUACAGAGAAGUUGGAGAUAGAAAAAUUAGAAGGUCAGAAUCAUUUUCAUCUAUAGUGAGAUUGAGGUCAGCCUGAGAUACAUGAGAGACUGCCUCAAAAAGAAAUAAAAGAAAGAAGGAGAAAAGGAAAGAAGGAAGAAAGGAAGGAAAGAUGGGUUGAGUGACUUAAGACAAAUAAUAUUACCCCAUUUUUAUAUAACAAAUCCCCUAACACAUGAAUAUCUACCGAGAUUGAUUUCACCAUAAUUUGAUCAGCCCUGAAAUUUGAAACGCAUUUCUAUGUCUAAAUAUUUAUUGUGUUUUUCAGGAAAGAAUAGAAAAACCCCAGGGUAGUUGGACAAUCUUCGAACUCAGUGGAGUAUUGUGCCCAACAUAAAUACAAACCCUGAUACCUGGAACCCUUGACUAAUGUGUGCCAAUGGAGGAUUCAGUAGACGUUGUCCCUGGAGAAGGAUAUGAAGACUUCACAGGGCCGAUUUAAGACUCGCUGGAACUUUAUUGGUUCUGAGUUUUAGAUAAAACCUGAACCUUUCUAGGUCUUGGCUCAUUUGCAUUUGGCUCUGUUUAGCUGCCCUGUUUCUAUGAGGCAAGCCUGAGAGGGCCAUUUAAAACUGUCUCCAAAGACUUCUUGGUCAUCAGGAAAGUUCCUAAUGACUUAUGGAGAAAGUAAUCAGAACCAUAUGGAUCACAUUUAUGCAGAAAGACACACUGGUGGGAAAAGGUUUGGAGGCCAAAAAUAUACUCUGUCUUCUUCUUUUUUUUUUCCUUUGCCAAAGAAAGAACAUUUAAGGAAGCUUGAGAUAUGUGAGAAAUGUCUUGUUCUUUCUUUGGGGUGGGUGUUGGUGAGCAGCUGCUUGCUAUUUCCACGGAAUUUACAAAAAGCUUGCAUGGGUGGAGGGAGUUUCCAACAAAUUAAGGUAGACUUGAGUGAGAACUUACUAUCUGUGGGCCUUGAGGUAACUGCUAUAAAAAGACCUUGAUCAAGGACAUUUACACAGGAAACAGCAUCCUACUGUCAUUACACACCAUCAUAUUGUCAUGGAUUCGAUAAUAUUUGUUAAGUCUCAGCUCAUUUUAAGCAUGUCACAAUUGCUACUGGCUGUGUAUUGUGGGGGGAAAAGUUUAUGAAAAUGUACUGAACUUUUGAUAAGAUUUUUUUCUAAAUCCCUCUUUGUUAAUACCAUUCACUGUCCCUAGAUCUUCUGGUAUCUUUUCUGAUUUCACACUUGGCAUUUCUUUUCAGAGUUUACCUCACUGGAAUUCAAGUUGACUAAAAUUAAAAAAAAUACAUAAAGAAUAAAAUAAAUAUGCAAAAAGCAACUUUUGAUUCUAGAAAUGCUAAGAGACAGAUAAAUUUUGCCAAUAAAAUGAAGGCCCUGCUUCCCUCACCUCAAAUAAAGACAAGAUUUUCUCCUAUUUGUGCAGGACUUUUAGCCACCUGCUGCUGCCACAAAGGCUUAAGUUUUCUAUGGCUGCUAAACCUCAGAGGAGUUAAAAAUCCCUUAAUCUGGGGUACUUUGGGUUCAAAGAGGGCUGAACAUCUGUAGGAAGAAACUUGAAUUUCUUAAGGGCCUGCUGAAAGUGAGAUCAUAUGAAAGACUUAAAGAUGAAUGACCACCUGACUUCUGUCUUCCAGGAGUCUAAAGUCCUCUACAGGGCCAAAGUUGGGCCAAAUAAUCACAGUAUAUCAAAGAGCGUAGUUGUGAUCUUCAGAAUGCUUAGAAAAUUCUAGAAAAGCUCAGAGGGAAACAUUUGCUUCUGUAUCAGGGCUGGUGUAAAACAGCAAGAGAUGGUUUUAUUAAGUCUUGAAAGCAGACGAAAGAGCAGGCCUUAGUAUUUACUAGUUUCACAGAUUUUUAUUUAAUUUUAUAUGCUAGAGGUAUAGAACCGCCCCCUCUCUGUGGGUGUUUGUGUAUGUGUGUGUUUGUGUGUGUGUGUGUGUGUGUGUCUGUGUGUCUGUGUAUGUAUGUGUAUGUAUGUGUGUGUGUAGUUAUGAAGACAGUUUAUGUGGAACACUCCCUUUACUCUCACCUCACUAAAUAAUGUAUUUGUAUGUUUCAGUGUGUGAGUGCAUAUUUGUAUCUGUGUUCAUAUUUUUGGAAUUCCAUUUAUAAGUUGUGGUUCCUCUGCAUAUGUAUAUAAGCUUGUCUUUUAACUAAAUCCAGAGCUUACUGAUAUGUCUUCUAUUGCUAGCUAGCUUGGUCUGCAGAUCCCAUAUUUCCACUUCUGAGCCCUGGAGUUAUAAAUAGGCAUCACACUCACUUGGCUUUUACAACAGUUCUAGGAAUUUGAACUAUUGCCCUCAUUCUUUCUAGAGAAGAAUGUUGACAACAGAUCUACUUGCCAUCCUGGAUAUUAAUAUUUUUUAAUAUUGUAACAUUUAUUAUAUAUUUAUUGAUAUAUGGAUAACCAUUAUUAGUAAACUAACAUUUAUUAAUCUCUAUAGGUCAGAAGCAUCCAAACCUUGCCUGUCUCUCACCAGAGUUUAAAUGAGCAUCUGCUCACUGAACAAAAUUGCUAUUGUACAGUGAACCCUAUUUCUCUUUCUCUCCUACUCUAUCCCCUUCUGAUCCUGAUCUCAUCUAAGUCUUCUGGAGGCAGUAUGUUUAAAAUGAAAUUUCUAUCCACUAUUGUACUUAUGUACAACCUGGUAGACCUCAAGCUGCAUACCCAAAUCAGAACUGCAAAACUCAGACCUCUGUAUCUUCCAUUCUCUGGCCCUUGUAAUAUUUACAUUCAUGUUAUGUCUAGUUAUUACUAUUUUGCGUGUAGUAGUAGAAAUGAAUUGUACAGUGAUGGUUAGUUCUGAACUUCUGUCUAAACAAGAUGAUUAAUGCUAGCCCCUUCAAUGUCACUGCAUUUGUUCCCAAGCACUGCUAUAUGUCCAUUGUGACACGUAACCUCUAUGGAAAAAGGAAGCUCACAUGACACCUUCUCUGCUGCUACAACUAAGAUGGAGAGUAUUGUACAUAAUCUGUCUCAACUUUCUCUCUUUCUAAGAUGAUGUACAAACCUCUCAACUCCAGUCACACUGAUCCUUUUCCAGGGCCUAUAAUUUAUCUAGUUCCCGCUUGCCUUUAGGCUUACAUCUGAGUUUUCUGUUCCAUUCAAAUCCUUCUCAUACUUCACAUCAUUGUAAAUAUCACUUCCAUGUCUCCCAGACAGGAUAUUGGUCUCUCAGAACUCUUAAUGUCUCCUUCAUCACAAUUCUAAUUAAAUAAUUAUCAAUGGCAUUAUUCAUCUAAUGUAUAUUUCCUAAGCUAAGCUCAGUGGCAUAAAAAUAUAUUUAUAAUGAAAGCUGAGCAUGCAAAGACUCAAUGAGCACCAAUAGCUUCCUCUUGACCUUCACAAAUAUUAAUUUAAGUCUUCACAUUAGUCUGUGAUGUGGGUAUUUCUGUUAUGGCCAUGACUUCCAUUUUCAUUGGUCAAUAUUAUAUAACAAAAGCAGAUUCAACCUUAGACCGUCGUACUGUAGGAGCCAAACAUGAACUCGUGAUGCUAUUUACCCUUCUACAUGGAAGGAGUGUAGUGCAUAUUUCUUCUACACCCAGAAGUUCUCUCAAAUCCAUUGAGUUCUUAUGAAUAUACUGUCUCUUCUAAUUCUACAAUACUCCUUGCUUUUAAUCAGGGAUAUUUGCAUAUGUCAAUCUUCUUUGAAGUGCUCCAGAUAUCAGAAGACACAUUCUCAUAUUCCAAAGCUUCACUGACACAUCUGAUUUCCUAAGGAGGAGUUAGACCUAUAUCGGUUGCCUGACAGGUUCUUAAUAUGUAAUAACUGAGGUUGUAGGCAUGAGUGCAUGCAUGCUGGUCUUACUACAUGUGACUAAUCCCAAUGUUUCCUCUUCUUUCUCCAUCCCAUGUUGCUAAACUUCUGUCUUUCUUAACCUGUAUCUUGUCCAGCCCUUUGCCCUAGUAACAUAUAAUUCUAAAAUCACAAAAGCGGGAGUAUAUGAUCUUCUUGAUGGAGACUCAAGGGACAUCCCUAAUGUAAAUUGCUUUAACAUCCAGCUUAAAUUGAUAGGGCAGCAAACAUAUAGAUCUUGAAAAUCUCACAUUGCUUAACGUCUGGUUUCUGCAACCUCACUUUUCUGUAUUAAUUCAAAGAGGUGGUUAACACAGAAGAUAGCCCCACUUCGUAGGGCUGGAAACAUCAGCUUAUGUCCAGUCAAGGACUUUCAGAAUGAUUUGUAAUGAGGGGCUCUCCCAUGAUCUAGAUAUUCACUGAAGCCCUCAUUCUAAAUGGCUGGCUCCUAAGUCUUUUUCUCUCCCUCCUUCCCUCCCCUGACCCCUCUCUCUGUCUCUCUCUCUGUCUCUGUCUCUGUCUCUGUCUUUCUCUCUCUCUCUGUCUCUCUCUGUCUCUGUCUCUCUGUCUCUCUGUCUCUCUGUCUCUCUGUCUGUCUGUCUGUCUGUCUGUCUCUCUCUCUCUCUCUCUCUCUCUCUCUCUCUCUCUGCUCUGGUCCACCAGGGGGAGCCCAACAUUGGCUAUUUUUAGGUUUCACCUGCCUUAAGGCCCAUUUCUCCAUUUUAUAAAGGAGCCAGUUUUCCUUUUUUUUUUUUUUUUUGGAAAACCAAACUGAUAAAUUUCUCACUUUAUAUAUUUAUAUAGGUUUUACUCCUUGCCCUAAUUCUAAGGUAUAUGAGCAAAACAAGCCAGUCACAUCUCCUGCCUAGGAUUGCUUCAGAAAGGGUUGUGGUACAGAUCCCCAAGACCAAUCAGUUCUAGAGUAUUUAAUCAAUUCUUUAUUUAAUAGUUCUCUGAAAAGUGAAAUAAUGAGGUCAGUCAAGAAAGCUGAGUAGGUAAAGAUGACAUGAGUUAGGAUUCCAGGACUCACACACUAGAAAUAGCAAAUUUUUGUCUUCUGAGCUGUAUAUAUGGAGGUGAUUUGUCGCAAUUACACACACACUCACACACACACUCACACACACACACACUAAAUAAAUAAAUAAAUAAAUAAAUAUAAUUAAGAAAAAUAAAUGCAACUAAAUGUAAUAAAAUUAAAUAAUGAUGAUGGGCAUAAUUAGUAAAUGGUGACAAACCCUGGAAUUCUGUCAAUUAUUUUUUGCCACCACACAGAGAAAUGGAUUGGGAAUGAAGUAGGAAGCUGUAAUGAUCCACAGGUUUCCAAAGUCAUCAUGGUUUUGUUGUUAUUGUUGUUGUUGAUGAUGUUGAUGAUUUGGGUUACUUUUUGUUGGUGGUGGUCUUUUGCUGUCAUUGUUUUUGAAUUUGUAUACUUGCUGUCAAGUAUAUUCUUAUAGAUCAUGAUAGAUCAGGGAAUUGGGUUUAAGAUAAAAUCAUGUGACUUAGAAGGACUAGAACUAGUACUGCCACCUGUAUAGAAACGAAUAGCUGCCAUUAGGAUCCUGCCACUGUCAAACUUCGUACCAUGCAAAAGGAGUCCAUAUGCCCUUCUUGACUCUGUGUGCUCAACCUUUGUCUUAGGCAGAAUUCCACAAUGAAUUCUAGUAACACCCAUUCUUAUGCAACCAUAUCUCCUCUAAGUAUGGCUGGAAUCUUUACAUGUAAUGAGGUAUCAGUACUAAAGCAUGGUAAGUUUUAAAAGCAAACAGUUUUCUCAGGAUGAGGAGGCCUGAGUGGCCAACUCUAGCUCACUUGUAAGAAACUAUCAGCCAAGUACAUUUUCAACAGUCUAUGGCCUCCUGUGGCACGCCUAACAGCGGAAGUGGUGUGCGUCUCUGACUCUUUUGCUUGUGAUUGGGACCUUUUUCUUCCUAUUGGAUGCUUCUUCCAGCCUUGAUAUGGGGGUUGUACCUAGUUUUAUUGCAUCUUGUUUUGCCAUCUUCAGUUGAUAUCACAGUAGGCCUGUUCUUUUCUGAAUGGAAAGAAAGAAACCAUGGACUUGGGGGGGAGGGGUAGAGACUGGAAGGAGUGGAGGAAAAGAAGGCUGUGUGUCAUGAUGUAUUAUAUGAGUAAAAAAUAAAUUAAAAAAAUUAAAAAGUUAAUGUCAUCUGUAUAAACAUAAGAACUGAAGCUGAGAGGUGUGGAAGAAAAUGUUUCCUUUUGCUCACACAUAUUCCUCACAGUAAAGAGGUGUUCCAAUCCAGUGACAUUAUUUGUUCAGAGGUGUAAAUAAACACUAAUUAUUCUCAAGUCAUUGAGCAUAAUAAAUAUGAGAAAUAGAAUUAGGAAUUAAAUAGAUUUCAGUAAGAACCUGGCAUUAUCAUUUCCUAGGAAAAUAUAUAAUAAUCCUUACGUGGAACAUUACAGGUAUAACUCUAACCCAGUGUAACCUCCUGUCAUUGGGAAAUUGAGAUCCAAUAAUUUAUUCUGAAUCUCAUGUUCUGAGUCUUUUAUAUGCUGAUAUGACAAAAUUAGAGAUCAAUUGAGAAAUGAUGUCUAUUCCAUAAGAUUAUUAUAAUAAUGACAUCAGAUAAGCAUUGUCUAUGGAGUUUAAAAUAUGGAUACCAUGCACCAAUAUGACUCAUGCUCAAAGUAGUUCCAUGUCAACAGGAAAUAUGUAACUAUUAAUGUUUACUGAGCUUCACACAGAAUCAAGUUUCUCUUAAUGAUAUUCACCUGUUAGUUCAUACACUUACCACAGAAAUACAAACUAAGUGCUAUGAUCAUCACUGUCAAUGUGAAUGUGUUUAAUAAGAAUCAAACUAAUGUUUAAAAUCUGAUCUUCUGUUCUCAAGUCAAAGCAUUUUAUCUAUUGCCUACUAAAUCUCACUAAAUGAUUUUAAAGAAGUGCGGUAGGAUUGUAGAGGCUUUCAUUUAUUUGCCUUUGUUUGAUGGAAAUUUCUCCAGUCUCAUGUGCCACCUAUAAAUUCUAAGGUUUCCAUAUCUGAAAUUCUGACCAAGUCAGUAGCACUAAUUUAAGGGUUAGGCAGAACAACAUUAUAAGUUCCUGUGUGAUUUCCUGUAACCUAUAUUUGCCAUUUACUCAAUGUCUAUGAUGUUUAAAGAGUGUUGCUCUAAGUGCUUCACAUAUAUUGCAUAAUUUAGUUAAUCAAUUUAACUGAACUGAAGCUCAAAACAGUGUGAAUCACAGAUUACCAAAAUUAAUUUUAAAAAUCUGAAAGGUAAACUAAUUUGCUUAAGAAUACAGAGCCAUGGAGAACUGAAUUAGUGCUUGAAACCCAAUGUUGUAAUCUUUGUUUCUCCUAGCUAUGCUCUGUACUUAGCACUAUUGUGCAACCCAAAGCAGUUUGUUACAAUGUGUCAAGCAAGCCUGUUCUAGUUGAGCCCAGAGUAAUAUCUCUCUGGCUCAGAAAGUUUGCUUUAGAGUGGCCAGCAAGCAGUACUGAGAAAGGAUGAUUGGCUUUUGGGUUUAUAAACUUAAAAAAAUAAAAACGAGUAAGCAUUGUUUAUAAUAAACUCUCUGGAAGUGAUCUUGAAAUUCAACUGGUUAAUAUUUUUUUCAUUCAUAUCUUUAUAGAUUUUUUCUACAUCCCUAGCUGUUUCUUGUUCAUCUUUCACCUGAGGCAGCCAUUGGGAACUGAUAGUGGCAUCACCUCGUACAACAACCGCCCCCAAUACCUCUUAGCACAGUCUUCAAGUCAGAACCUUGAAUGAAAUACACCUGUCUCAGGAGGCAAAGUCUAGAAGCAAACUCUGUGUUCUCUCCCUGAGACCGGUAAAGGUCUUCUGUAGAUUUUGGAGAUAAAAGCCUGUUUGACCAACAGUAUAACUAAAUAGAAAAAAGAUAUGUGCCUUGUGAGCUAAGCACAUUUUUACCUUUCUAUUACAACAUUCAAGUGAUCAAGAACUGUUGUCAUUCUCUGUUUUCAGCAGAGAAAAUUGUUUACAGAACCAGAGUCCCUGCUUCAAUUGUGUAACAUACAAUAUUUAUGGACCUAAGAUAUAGUUGAGAAUGUCAAAAUCUUUUUCAGUAAUAUGGGGAAAGUUAAGAUUUUACUUGGGACAGAUAUCCCCAGAAACAAAUUAGCAAAUUAAUGUUUUAUUUUAUUUAAUAGUGAGAGGAUAAACAAAGCCUUGGUUUAUGAAUUUAGUCAUUCCUUGUCUCUGCUAAUACUUUUGCCAAUAUUACACCUUGCUGAUAAUAACACUGUUAAAUGCACAAGCUAUAAUUAAGUACUGAGCCAUUUAUGGGUGCACUGAAUCUUCUUACAGGAUCACUACAUAUGCCAAAGGGUAAUAAGAAUUUAAAAGUUUUAGAGGGAAUAGUGAAUCAAAAUUACACAUCAGAUUAGUACUUCAUAGCUUGUGAAUUAGAAUAAACAAAUAUUGAAUAAGUUGAUAUAAAAAGCAAAUGAAGAUGAAGGAUAAAGAGUAAAAACACAAAGAGGAGGAAAAAAGAGGAAAUGAAGAUGAAUAAUACUACGUAAAACUGGCAAUGACAAGAUGAAGAGGAGGAAGAUGAAGAGGAGGAGAUAAUGAAGUAGGAAAUUUAUUUGUUAAUGUAUCUAAAAAUAAAUAGCUAAUACCUCUCGACUUUUUGGCUAAGAUCAAGUGUAAAAAUUAGAUAGUUGACCAUCAUUCAGAUUCUCACCUGUGUCAUCAGGAUCCACCUUGUCUCUCUCAACUCACUCUCUGCUUCAGUUGACCUGAAUAUCAAGUAAACAUUGUCCAUCAAUAGCUCAAAUAGCAGUUUUAGUCGGUUCUAAUCAAGGUCUUAAGAUUUUGUUCAAUUGGUUGUAAUGGAGCUGUAUUUCAUGGUCUAUGAUCACUACCAGCCUUGAGAACAACCAGAUAGAUUAAGGGAAAAAAUGGAUUCUUCUUCCUGAGAAAAAUUGAGAAUCUCUUUCCAUAAACAUGAAGAAAGAAAGCUAUGCAUACAGCAAAUGACCCUGUUGCCAGAUCCCGUGACUCUCAAUAAACGAUCCCAUAAAUCACACCUAGGCAAGCUCUAAAGGAAAAAAUUCCAUUUGUGAAGUAUACUCUUUAUCAGCAAAAAAAUUUGUAGAGAAUGUGUAAAUGAUCAAUUUAAUAUAUACCUAGAUGAUUCUCAGCAAUCUGUUAGAAAUGUUAUAUCUGUAUCUUUCUUAUAGUUUCUUAGGGUUGUUUCUGAUUCCAGAAAGUUAUUUUAUUUUGAUAUCAAUAUUUCAAACUGUUUGAGAGUUUUACCCAUUUAUAUAAUGAAUUUUAGUCAUUCUGAUUCUCCUUCAUCCUCCCACUGAGUCUUCCUGCGACUUUCAUGUCAUCUUGCUGGCCCUUGCCCCACGUUGAUGGGCGGUUAAUCACUGAAGUUAUUCAUCUAUUUUUAAACCACUGAAGAACGUGACACACCCCUCCUAACUAGCCUUAAUUGCUAAUAGUUCUUCUGAGGACAAAGUGCGUCCCUCAUCAGUAAUAAAAUUUGGAUGACCCUAAACCUGUGGAACUUGAUAAAACAGCUGCAAUGAUAUGAUGAAUGCAGGAGCUCUGUCAUGGCUAAAAUAUAGCUCCCCAUCCGCAACUAUUUUAUCAUUUCUACCUCUUCUUUCACUUGUUUCCUGCUUCUAUUUUAGAAAGAGUCAAAUACUACACCAUUAUUUAUUUUCCACACUUUGACUAUUUGUGGGUUUCCCCAUUGAGGAUCUCCUGCUUCAAUAAGAAGCAUCUGUGAUAAAGUCAUGGGAAGCCCUUAUCUGUGGUGGCAAAGAUGAGAAUUUAGAGGGAACUCUGACAAUGUAACUGUUUUGCAAAAGGGAAAUAGUAGGUCCCCAUAUAUUUUAUCAGAAAAAUUCUUAGAUACUGCUGAGUGUUGCAUAUUUUAUUCCAAAAUGACCACAGUAAAUUUUGAAUAUCUCACUGAUUUAUUAAACAGGCAAUAGACAGUAAAAGUUGAUUUUAUUUUUUAACUGUACAUGCCCAGACUCACAAGCACCAGUAAAAACAAGAUAAAACAAAUAUUAUUAGGAAAAGAAAUUUUAAAAUGCCAGUUUUAAUUGAUUUUCCCCCCUCUGGCUCAAAUAAACCCCAGAGUGUAAUUAGGACAUAUGUAUAUAUUGAAAACAUCAUGCUAUUUUCUCAUUCUUUGAUGUCUAUUAAUAUCAUAAGUAUAGUGGUUUAUGUAGUAACUCACAUUAUUGACAAUUACUAGCCAAUAUUUUGGAAGACACAUGAGAUCAGUAUAUGAAGAGAAAGAAUGUGAGAACUGAGCUCAGAGAGCCAUGUCUUUCUUGUGGCUAGUCUAUUUUAUUCAACAGCAUAACCCCAUUAGGAUUUGUAUUAUAGAGGUAUAUGACUGGGGUUUCCACACAUUUUAUCUAAUAUAAUUGUGAAUAUUUCAGUGAGGCCAGCUUUUGAUCAUCUAUCAUUUACCUAUAGUUUUCAUCUAUAUCAUUUAUCAAGCUAUUUGCCUGGCAUGUAUCUAUCAUUUGUCAAUAUAUUUAAAUAUUUUCUGUAAACACUUAUAACACAGAACCAAAAACUAUUAUUUAAUUAUUUUGUGCCUCAGUUAGAAGAAGAAUGAAUGAUGAUAUUACAUAAACCCAUUCCAUUUCAGCUGCUUGGUUAGUCCUCGAAUUCUGGCACUGAUCCAGAAACUAACUGCAGUUCAGCAGCCCAUUGUAUCACAUCCAACCUGGAGCUACAGGUCCAGGACCAGGUGCAGCACAAACACUGCUGCCCAGGUCUCAACUCUAUGGCAACGAAAUCCUGGCUAAAGCCUUGUUCAAAUGCACUAGGGAUAAAGGGACUAAGUAAUCUUUCUAUGCAGCAAGCCAUCUCUUGGUUUCCAAAAUUUGCCUGAUAAGAAUGAUCUAAAAGUUUCUAAUCUCCCAUAGAUAGGUCUACAGCUAAUUCAUGAAAUAAACUACAUCAUUAUUAAAAGGUAAUAAACAGUUCUGUGUGGUUAUGAAUACAUCCCCAUAGAAAGAAUAUUAUCUUUGCAUCCAGAUGGACAUAGCUUCAAAUCUCAUCGCUGUUGCUAGUUUCAUUGGUCCGGAUUGCUGCACCUCAGUGAUUCUCCUGUGGUUUGCAUAAAAAAUUGGUUCAAUAAAAUGUAAUUUACAAAACUGAACAAGAACUAAAUGUAUUACAGCUUGACAUAGUUUCUGACACAAACUUCAAUGCAGUAUAUGGAUAAAACAGAUACAUUUUAUAUCCUUGACAAAAAGGGACUUCCUGGGGCUGUCACUAUAAAUCUUAGCACCAAAGUGUCUCUGGUAUAUAGUAUAUAUCCAAUGUAUGUCCCCUGAAUAAAAUAGUGAAGAGAAUUAUCGUAUCUAAAUCCAUCAAUACCUAGUCACAUUUGCUUUCUUGGCCUUUGUUUGUUUGUUUGUUUGUUUGUUUAUGUAAAAGGUUAUUAAGACAUUUUAUCAAAUAGUCAGUGCCCUGGAUAUAUUUCCUGCUUGGUUCAUUAACCUGAAUUGUGAUAACUAGUUAAAAGAUGAGGCAUACUGCUCUGUAAUGUGAAACAUUGUCAUGUUACAGUAUGAAAGAGGAGGCAAAUUUUAUUCUUUAGUAACAUUUUUAAAAAUGACCUAUAAGCAAAAAUUCACCUGAGAGCUAGGGAAUGGCAACAAUGUUUCAUCUUUGGUUGAUUCCUCAAAUCCCUGAGAGACAACUCUGGGUGGGCCAACUUAUGUCCCUAUGUUUUUCAAAGCUUUGAUGAGAGUAGAGGGUUUCUCUGAGAAAGGGACUCUAAAUUCCAUUGAUAUUUUAUAAAUAAAUAUUAUUGUAUCAUUUCUUGAUCAAUGAGCUUCAAGAGGUGAUUCCUUGCUCUUCUGACUAUCUUACACAGUGCAGCCUGCAACCUGGAAAGAGGCAGGGGGACUACAUUUCUCCUAUGCAAACAACUAUCCUUAUGAUGAGUGGUGAUCCUAUUUGACAGAGCCCAAAAUUCAUUGCAGAAUCAUCUGUCUCCUGGGAACAUAUCAUCUACCUAGAUAAGAGCAUGUUUCACCAUAUGUCAAAAAAAUUAUCUUUGAAAUAUAUGGAGAGAAUUCAGGAGCAAAACCAUAGAGGAUAUGACAAAACUCUUGCGCCCAAAACAAGAAAGAUGUUAACAUCUGAAGACCAGGAAAUUUGCUGUGAGUUUGUGACUAAAAGAACUGGAAGAAAGACCAGCAGUCUCAACAAACCUGGACCCCCGAGAUCUCUCAGAAACUGAGCCACCAACCAGGCAGCACACACUACCUGGUCCAAGGCACACAUACAGCAGAGGACUGCCUGAUUUAACCUCCGUGCGAGAAGUUGAAGAUGUAGAACUCAGCUCCUCCUGCACCAGGCCUGCCUGAAUGCUGCCAUGCCUUGAUGAUAAUGGACUAAACCUCUGAACCUCAAGUAGGAUUGAAUAAUGUCUGCAUUGCACAGCUGUCAUGGCAGUUCAAUGAAAAGAUGCUCCCAAAAGCCUUUGUAAACUGCAGAGAUAUGAAACACUGAAGAAGCAAAGUCCAGUCUCCGACAUCACAGCCCCUCACCAGCUCCACUCCAGGUGUCGCGUUUCAUUUUCCACUUGAUUUUAGAAGUCAAAUAUUUAGCUGUGCUAAUGGGGUAUUGGAUCUUUUUAUUAUGGCCUCACUACACAGUGUGUGCAGCUUUGCCGAGAUAAUAAAAGAUGUUAGACCUAGUCUCGCCACUGUUUAAUGCAGAAAUGCUAUGGGAACACACCUGGGGUGCGACUUUGAAUAGAAUCAGUGGCAAAGUCAUCCAUGUCCCCAGCAGAGAUAAAAGCAUUAAUAUCCUAUUUCACCCUCAGCCCACACUAGCAUGGUGUUGAUUAAAAUUAUUUUCUACAGCUUGACUUCUAUUUUUUAAAGGAAAUCUGUAAAGUCGUGUGUGCGUGUGUGUGUGUGUGUGUGUGUGUGUGUGUGUGUUUGUCUUCGUGUGUGUCUCUCCUAAAGGGGUGGGGAGAAAGAGAGAGAGAGAGAGAGAGAGAGAGAGAGAGAGAGAGACAGAGAGAGAGAGAGAGACAGAGAGAGAGAGAGAGAGAGACAGAGAGAGAGAAGGGAAAAGAAAUAUUUUUAAAACGAAGUUACAUGUGAAGCCUCUGUUUGAUAUCUGGCUUUAGAUCUAGUUUCAAUGGCAUAUAUUUCAUGGUCCUAUGGCUUAUAUGAGAUCAGCAGGGUUUUAUAAAGGGCCAAGGAAUCCUUACCACAUCAUCUUCUCUACUACUAUAUAUGUAUCUGGAUGCCUGUUGGCUCAAGUAUGUUUUACCUGAGAUAAAAGACAAAGCCUUUGCUGGUAUGCCUUUGUGCUUAAUGAGUAAAUGAAAGGCUGACAAUGUCAGGUCUCUGGGAAUUUGAAAAUACAUGUAGAGGAGGUGUUGGAGGAGAAUAGACACAGGUGGAAACUGCUGAAACUUAUUUGUUAAGAGACGCAUUAUAUGGUAGGAAUUGUAUGCCUAGAAAAUAUGUUUUCAAUUGAGAAUUAUGGACUUAGGGCGGUAGAUCUUCUAUAUGAUCAGGAAAGAGAAAACAUUAAAACCACCUGUGUUUGUGUUUAAGGCUGUGUCAAAGAUGUGUGUGUGUGUGUGUGUGUGUGUGUGUGUGUGCGCGCGCGCAUGCACGCACUCAAAUAAGUGCAUUUAUUUCCAUACAUAUUUAUUAUCACCUAUGUGUUUGUGAUAUGAUGAUGGGUGCAAGAUUAUGGGUGAGAUCAUCAAGUAUUUUCCAAUAUAAAACUCAUUGUCUGUGGCAAACUUUGCAAAUGUGACAUCAUUGGCAAUUGGGCCUGAUAAUUCUUUAUUAUUAGGAGUUCCACUCUGCUGGGUAAAAUACUUGAGGAUUGCUGUGGUUUGUCCACCUAGUUACAGUGUUUUCUCGUUAUGCCAACCAAAUGUACCUAUAGUCGUUACUUAAUAUCCAUAAUUAAAAAUGACCAUAUGAUGACAUUUGUUAGCCUGUCAGGACAUAUGGCUAUCAAAUGAAAUACUUAAAAGUUGGUUACAUUUAUGGCUAUUUACUGUAGGACAGCAGGGCAGAGAGCUUAGUGAACAAUUCAGAUGAGGUGGGCUGACUGUUACAGAUGAAGCAUUAAGAUCUCUAGGAUGCACUGUGAAAUGCAACAGGGAGGGUGGGGAAGACUUAGCUUGGCAGAGAAAGUGAACAAAAGUUGAGAGACAGAAACAAACACACUCACUCACUCACACACACACACACACACACACACACAGAAGGGGGGAGAAGAGAGCGCUAGCUCAAGAAGAAAUUUCUGAAAACUGGGUCUUGGGAGGGACGAGAGAGAGAGCGAGCGAGAGAGAGAGAGAGAGAGAGAGAGAGAGAGAGAGAGAGAGAAGAGAGUGCUAGCUCAAGAAGAAAUUUCUGAAAACUGGGUCUUGGGAGGGACGAGAGAGAGAGAGAGAGAGAGAGAGAGAGAGAGAGAGAGAUCUUCACUUACUUAAAAUUUGUCAAUCUACUAGGAGGAGCAUAAACCACAUCCACAUCUUUCAGGAAUGGUAUUCUGAAGUCCCUUUCUUCAAUCUAUAGAGGAGGAAAUGAAAAUUCAGAAACUUGAAAAGACUUGCAUGCAAUUCUCCAGUUAUACCACAAAGAAGGGAAGAUUUAAAUCCUUGUCUGGCUUAUCCCUAAGCACCUCUUCUUCCAUGGGGACUAAAUACAGGACUGCCUCUGUGGCCAAGCCAGUCCUCUCUUCCUAAAAUUGCAGCUGAUACAUAGAUCUUCACAAGGGUUCUUGCCAUUUAGGUGCCCCUUUAUUCUUUAGCCACAUAUCUAAUAUUGUCAUUUUGGAAUUUUGACUAAGCAUUGAGCAUACCAAUAUGACCAAAUGCAAUCUUUGCAGCUCCAAAUAAAAACUAACCAUGGAAGGAAGAGUACACAUAGACAUUUUCCAGUAAUACAGGACACAGUGCUUUCAGAAACUGAUGAACAUUUAAGGUGAAAUUAUACCAUCUAACUACAUAUGAGAAUUAAGAGAGAUAUGAUGGAAGACAUACCUAAGCUAAAUUGAUUUAAAAAAACAAGUUAUUCCGAUGUGCUCUGUGUGUCAAGCAUUUUGUUUCACACAUUUUAUCACCGUACAACUGAAUGCUUAAUAUACUAGUGGAAAAUACUAGAAGAGUUAAAACUGGUCAAGGUCUACGGAUGAUAAGUAGGAAGCUGAAUUUGAGUGAACCAAAUUACUUAUGUCAGAAGAUUCAAAGAACAGGAAAUCUAGGCAAAUAACUAUUUUAUUAGGUACUUCUAUUUUCCAAAGAUGACCUCAAUACCUGAAAAAAAUUACAGGAGGAAAAGUCAAUUUUGGCUCCCAGUUUCAAGGCAUUUUUGUCCACCAUGGUGUGUGUGUAUCAUGGCAGAAGGAACAAAUGGCAAUUUGUUCAUAUCUUAGCAGCUGUGACACAUGAAGAAAGCCAAGUACCCUCGUUUUGAAUAUUGCUUUCAAAAGAAUGCCACUAUUAGCUAUGUUCCAUCUCCUGAAGGUUUCAAAGGGUCUCAAAAAUAGCACCAUCAACUAGGACACAAGUGUUCGAAAUAUACGCAGCAGACAUUUCAGACUGAAGCUACACAGUACAUUAAGGUAGUAACAUUAAUGGAGACUGUUGUGGUUGGGAAAGAUUUAUGUGGGGAUGGAGGAUGCAUGAUAGUUCACAUUGAUUGUCAGCUUAGCUGCAUCUGAACAGACUAAGAAGCAGACCUCUUUGAGAGCAUUUUUAGGGAAAAUGAGCAAAGAUGAAAACACAUUUAGAGUAACAUCUUCUUUUGGUCCAGAGAGUAAAAUCUGGGAGCAAGCAAUUGCAUGCGCCCGACUUUGCUUCUUUCUAGUGAGUGUGCCAGCCUGCGCUGUUGGGAUGCCACUACUGACAUUCUUUACUGGCAUGAACCUCCACUUUUUUUGAGUUUCAAGAUGGACUGAAAAUGAAUAAAUCUUCAGAAAUCCUCCAUAUUAACACAUCCAGUUUUAAAUUGCUACAGCAUCCAGCAUUACUGACUACUGGCCACCAGGUUCUAGGCCCCUCUAUCAUUACAAGUAGCCAUUGUUGGGCUAGCUAUCCACCAGUGGUAAUAUGUUGCUUUAUUAAAUGCCUCAUAAAAUAUGCAUGCAUUACAUAUUUUUUUGCUCCAUUGGAGAUCCGUGCACAAAAUAGGCUCCCAUUAUAUAGAAGAAGCCCUUUAUAUGAGUUAGAGUUUUCUGCAGUAAUCUUGAAAGAAGCAAACAAAAAUUGGAUCAUGUGUAUGAUAAGGCCAGUUUUGAGCAUGGAAAGAUGGAUGAGGGUUGAGUGAGGGGCUCUUGAUGACCAGCUAAAGAGUGUUUGCAGUCUGUGCAAAUAUAUUGGAGUUAAGGGAAACUCUCUUUGGCCUUUUUUCUACUGCCUGUCAAUCAAACCUAUUAAAAUGGAAGCUUCUGAGUUUAUUUGAUUUCAGAAAAGGAUAUGUUCGUUAUGUUUUCCUCCUCUUUCUCUCUUCAUUUUCCCCGUGGACUACAUAUCAUUGCAUGCUAUGGCCUGCAGGUUCUGUUUUCUCCAAGAAAUGUGCAUUUGGGGUUGCUGGGCCUGUAAAACAUGAAAUUAACCAGUGUCAUAUUUUUCACACCCUCCUCCCUGCUCACCCAGGAACCCAAAUUAAAUUUCACACUGAACAAUCUGAGCAGCUGACAUGCUCCACAGACAACAGGUGCAGGGUGUUGAUGGCCUGAGGUCGAUGUCUCUGUCAUCAGACUGUGUCAGCUCUGCCACCUCUGCUUGAUUUUCACAUUUAGUUGAAUUGAGACUUGGUCUUAAGCUGCUACAAACUCCUGUAGAACCAACAGGCCCUGCUCCCAAAUACGUAAGUGCAUAGCUAUCUAUAGUUGAUAAUCAACAUCUCUGUCAGUUUGAAGACCAGGAAAUGAUAGACCAACUUAGCAAAUUGGGAGUUCAGUGCUCUAAGCAGCAACUGAGGCCACACAGUGAGCUGCACAGUGUUCUGCAGAUCAGAGGCUUUUGGUACACUGGACAACGCCUUGGGGUUCCUUUGGAUAUAAGGUUUAUAAAGCAAAGAAAGUCCUAAUUAAAGUCUGUCUUUUGAGGUCAUCUCUUAUAAGUGUGUGUGUGUGUGUGUGUGUGUGUGUGUGUGUGCGCGCGCGCGCGCGCACGCGUGCGUGCAUGCAAGUGUGCGUGUGCACACGCAUGUCCUUGGGCAUGUAUAUAAAGGUGCAUUGUUUGUGGAUACUAAAGAACAUGUAUGGAGUUUACAGAAGAGAAGACUUACAAGAGUUGGUUCUCUUGGUCUAUUAUGUGGAUUCUAACUGUCAGGCUUAAUGGUGAGCAUGUAUUUGAUCUAUUUGAUCACCAACUGCACUUCCUAAAACACAUCUAUUAUAAGUUACCAUUCAUGCCAAUUUGUACCUAUGUUAAUUGAGGCCAGGAGCUGGAUUUGGUCCACACUGGGUCUCUACACAAAGUGGUGCUCUGAACCUAGCAGCUAUGUAUGCCGUGUUAAACACAGGAUUUCAAGGAUUGUUUCUGGGUUGUAUCUUCCAGUGCCUUUAAAGUGAUUUAAGAGUUUGCUGUUAUGAUAGUUAAGAUGAGAGAAUGCAUCUGAUAGGUGCUAAUGAGCAACAUUUCUCUCAGGAUCUGUCUACAUUUUUGUUGCUCAGCACAGUAAGCUGAUAAACCUUGGAGCACAGGAUGGCUCUAGGGAAGAAAAGAAGAGACGAUGCCUAAUGGUGAAGAAUGAGCACACCAAAAGGCAUUUUGGCAAUUACUUAGUCCACAGUGUAAUGUCUUCUACACUGUUCUUUCCAAAAUACACUCUCCAUUAAUUUUGUGUCUCUUCUGAAACAAUUAAAAAAUAAUUUCUAGGGCAGUUGUUUACAUGGUCACAUUUUAAUAUACAGUUUAUGUAUGAAAGAGAUAGUUUAAAAGAUUAUCCUUUAUAAUAUGGGCAUUGUGCAAUUAAUGUAAGCCUUUCCUUGUGAUGGAAGUUUUAGGUGACAUGAAGGAACAACUGAGCCGCUCUGAAAUUAAACAGAUAGAAAAUAAAAGAUUAUAGAGAGAUAGACACACACACACACAUGCACACAGGCACGCAUGCAUGCAUACAUACAUAUAUGCAUACACACAAUGAUGAUGGAUAGGUAAUGUGGUGGUUUGAUUACGUAUGGAUUCCACUGACUCAUGUGUUUACAAGCUUGUUUAUAGGGAGUGGCACUAUUAGGGGAUGUAAUAUUACUGCAGUAAGUGUGGCCUUUGCUGGAAGAAGUGUGUCUUCUGGAGGUGGACUUUGUAGUCUAAUAUAUGCUCAAGCUACAUCUACUGUUGUACAUAAUCUCCUUCUGUUGCCUUUGGAUCAGGAUGUAGAACUCUCAGCUCCUCCCACAGAAUGUCAGCAUGCAUACUCCCAUCCCAUCUGCCAUGAUGAUAAUCAACUAAAUCCCGGAAACUUUUAUGUCAGCCUCAAUUAAAUGCUUUCCUUUAUAAGAGUUGCCAUGGCUAUGGUGUCCCUUCACAGCAAUGAAACUUUAACACAGGUAGGUAUGAUGGUAGUUAUGAUGAUAGAUAUGAUGGCAGGCAGGCAGGCUGGCAGGCAGGCAGACAGAUAGACAGACAGAGACAAAUUGAUACAGAGACACAUAUGUGUGUGUGUUCCUCCAUGUGUUUCUCUCUAUGUGAUCUCCCUCGGUAUUUCUCUAUGUGUAUAUUUUACAAGAUCAAGUUAAAUUUUCCUCCUCUUCCUCUUCUGCUUUUCUCUCUCUUCUACCCUGACAAUAAAAAGAGCUCUAUCACAAAAUUGUUUCAAGAAAACCAAACCAAACAAACUUGAAGAUAGGACAAGAACUAGAGGUAUUUAUGAAGUGGUAUCUUUGUAAUAUUUGUGAAGUGGGAUGACUGGCUGCAAUCAUGGAAGUUGUUACUACUAAGCUUUGGGCUGGGAGCUACUUCAGAACUAAUGGUCCCUUUGCAUUCAUGAGCAUGUGGCAUAGGCUUCCCAUGCCUUUGCUAUGCUCUCAGAGAGGAACUCACAUCUAUAAUAUUCACAGACAGGCCUCCUGUGAACUCUAGGAGGCUGCAUCUUGGAGCAGGGACAGGCCAGACCACAUUUCUGCUGGAGGCUAACAAGAUAUAUCAAAUGCAGGUGACACUUGGGUCAGACAAGCACCUGCUCUUCUGGGGCCUGAGGCUUGCUUGCUAACAUUGGGAGGAAUUUGCUGCUAAGGUUUUCUUUAGAAUAACUUGUGAAAGAUUCCUUAUAGACAUUAAAAAUUGGAAUGUUUUUGAAAUCCCCACAAGAAAUCAAUAAGUGCAGAAUUCACCAGGGAUGGGAGUGGAGGGAAGCGAGACUAAGAUUAGACUAUGAAAACUUCCAUUAUGGUUGAGAAGGAAUUGAGAAGAAUGGUGCAUAUUAUCACUGUGGGCCACCUAAGACCUAAUUUUGGGGUUCUUCCUAAUUGUGCAGCUCCAAUGAUGCUCAGUUUCCUCACAUAUGACAUAUAAAUUUAAAAAAGGAAAAUACAGCUUCCCAGGGCAGAGCUGUUGCUGAGAGGUAAGUAACUUGCUGUGAAAUCAUGGCAUAAGGACCACAAUUCAGGGUCCCAGUACCUAUUCUGGAGCUCUGUUUGCAUGAUGGCGCACUUGGCAUCCCAGUGCUCAGUAAGCAGAGACAGCACAAAUUCCUGAGGCAAACUGGCUGUCUUUAUUAAAAGAAUCAGUAAGCUACAGUUUCAAAGAGAGAAAGUAUAUCAACACUUAAUGUCAAAUUUCGCCCCCUGCCUGAGUUCACACCUGUAGGAGCAUGUAUUGGUGUAUUCUAGUGAACAACAAAGUCAUGCACACAAACAUAUAGCAUAAACAUUUCUUGUUGUAUGCAUGCCAAAUAAAUUAAUACUAUUUAUGGUAUUCUUUCUGCCUUAAGACAUUUGUGUGAUAUAACAUUUGCUAGGAGCCAUGAGGGCACACUAUUUCUCUGGCAGAUAGGAUUGUCAUGAAGAAGGUAAGUCUGGUCACAACGAAAUGCAAAACAGUGACACUGAGCAAGAGAUUUGAGCAUGGUGUCAGUUCCUAAGUAUAUGGGCAUAAUAAACCCAGAACGUUGAUAUAAUAGAAUGGCUAUGGGAAUGAGCACCAGAGCCCAGCUGCCAGGGUUUGAAUCCCAGCUCCAUUACUUGAUAGCACUAUAGCCUCAGAUAAGUAAUUUAAUCUCUCUUUACUGCAAUUUCCUCAUUUAUAAACUGGAGAUAACAAUAGUGCCUAUCUCACAAGACUGCUACAAGUAUUAAAUGCAUUAAUAUGUGUAAAAGGUUUGGAGAAAUGCCUGGUACUUAGGAAGAACCUGAUAAAUGACAAGGAUUCCCAUGGUGCUUUGAGUAAGGAUGAGACGAGAUAACAUUUUUAAAUAUGUGGUGGUACCCAACAGGUACACUAAAAGAAUAGCGAUUGCAGUCAUCAGUACUGCUUCUAAUAAAAAAAAGCAACAGAAUCUCUUGUCUCUGAAGACAUAAAACACUUUUUAAAAAGGCAGGUUCAUUGCUAGGUCUUUCAGAAGCAACUUUUGGCUGCAACUUAACUCCAUGUAACUUCCCUAUUAAAAUGAAAAUCUGCAACUUAUGUGAAAGUAAAUCUAGUCUCUAGACUUCUUAAACUCCUCUUGCCUGAUUUCUUUUCACUGUGUGCUGGUCCUCAGGAUGCAGGGAGUGCAUCUCUUCAUGAACCUGAGUUUAUAAUGAUAUCAUAGCCGCUGGUCUAAAAUGCUGUCAGACUGGAUAGCCUAAGAAAGAGGACUUUCACCACUUGUAAAGCAUAUUAUAUAUAGUUAUAACUUUCAAAUGAUACAGUGACCAUGUAACACAAAAAGCAGUGUUUUCUUUUUAUAGAUGAGGUAUUUAAAACUCAGUCAGUUAAAAUUCUGUAGUUGCUACAACAUACCAGAUACAUGAACUGCUCAUUUGAUGGCUUGUCUCACUUCCCUCACUUGUUAUUUUUACUUUAAUUUCAAUUUUUAAUUUAUUCUUAGAUUUUAUACAUAGAGUGUAUCUUGAUCAUACCCACAAAUAAUUUCCCAACUCCCUCUGUAUUCCCAUCAUAUCUCCCUCUCCACUUCAUGCCUGCCUUUAUUUUGUUUAUUAAUUUAUUCAUUCAUUGACUUAUAUAACUUAAUGAGUUCAACUAGUGCUCUGUAUGUAUACAAGGGUGAGACGAUUAACUGGGGCCUGAAGAAAUGAUCAGAGACCAUCACCCAAAGAAAAUGAACAUUUCUCCUUGAGAAACUGCCAGUAAGUUCUCAGCUCGUGGCAAAGCCUCAGAAGCUCCUCAUGUUUCUGUGUUGGAAUAUUUACCUCACUUUAUCUUGUGUUGGUCUUAUGUACAUCACCACAGCUAGUCUGAGUCCCUGUGUGCAAUAAAAAUAUUAUAUCCAAA